rnacentral:rRNA from 1 species
UACGGGGGGGGCAAGCGUUGUUCGGAAUUACUGGGCGUAAAGGGCUCGUAGGCGGCCAACUAAGUCAGGUGUGAAAGCCCGGAGCUCAACUCCGGAAUUGCACCCGAUACUGCCGUGCUUGAGGACUGGAGAGGAGUCUGGAAUUCACAGUGGAGCAGUGAAAUGCGUAGAUAUUGUGAGGAACACUAGUGGCGAAGGCGAGACUCUGGACAGUUCCUGACGCUGAGGCACGAAGGCCAGGGGAGCAAACGGG